GGACUUUUAGUGUGGCGAUGUGACGUCAUAUGUCUGCGCCGCGCUAUUGCGUGUGUUGUGACUCGGCUGAAGAAAGAGAGUCCAAAUGCACACAAAAAAAACCUCCUGCUGAAGCAGCUGAGAUCCACGUCACAGGCUACUGUUAUAACGAUGGCGUUUAUUAAAGAGGAGACUGAAGACAUUAAGAUUGAAGCCGCAAUCACAGCGAAACAAGAAGAUACUGAAGAACAAACAGACCUAAUGACGUUGAAAGAGGAGCGUGAUGUACUAAAUGAAUCGGAAGAGCAAAGUCGGUUUGAGAAACAUCAUGAUUUCAUUACUGGGGAAAAGUCCACAAAGACUGAAAUGGAGUCCUCACCAAAAACAGCUCAGAAGACCGAAUCUAACAAUUACUUCAGCUGCCGUCAAUGUGGAAAGAGUUUCAGUAAAAAACGAAAUCUUGAAGUCCACAUGAGAAUUCACACGGGAGA